CGGGUGCGUAACACUGACGUCACAUUCCGUGAUGUAACGUUGCAGAAUAAUGAAUCCAGUUUUAUAUUAUAUACUCUCUACUUCUGUAAAGUUGACAGCUAACCAUUUAAAAUGGUCCAUAAAAAAGCCAUAAACAUGUCUAAAAAUGUUUAUUGCAAAUUAUGCUUUACUUAUUUCGCCACUAUAAAAGUGGCAAAAUCAUGCUUGUGGCUUGAAUUAUAAAAUAGGCUCAUUCCGAAGAUAAAUGUUUUUUAACAUUCGUUACAAUGUCUUAAUUUAUUGUACUCCAUCUUUGUUGACCUGGUUGCGAUUCUGAAAAUGUCGUUAACCUAUAACACACAGUAAUUACUUUUCGCUACGAUAUAGAGGUUUUGUAAACAAACAAGUAAGCACUUGUUUUUUCAGAUGAAAAUGUGCAUGUAGUGUUUCACGUGGAACACAUUUUAAAAUGGAACCGAUAACAGAGUCAGCACGUAAAGAAAGUUGCCUUUCCUGCAAACUUAUAUCAAUUGGCUGCUUAACUGGAAUUGGAAGCUAUUUGGUUGCCACAUCAAUCAGAUCGUACAAAGGCAAAUCCCGAGCGUUUAUAGGCGCUUUGGGAGCUGGUGCGAUUUGCUUAGGAGCGGGUGAAAUAUUUGACAAAAGUCCAUUUCGAUCUUCAGGAGCUGUAUAAAUACUCAUUAUUUAUUAAAUUAUUACGACUUUCUGUCAAUAUAUAUGUAAAUAUCAAUCAAGAACAGAUAUAAUGUGAAAUACAGUUGACAGUAGACAAAGGUUGUAUUAAAGUUCCAAUUUUGAGAAACAAA